rnacentral:rRNA from 1 species
UCACGAAGAACUCCGAUUGCGAANGCAGCUUGCUGGACUGUAACUGACGCUGAGGCACGAAAGCGUGGGGAUCAAACAGGAUUAGAUACCCUGGUAGNCCACGCCGUAAACGAUGAAUGCUAGCUGUNAGCGAUAUACUGUUAGCGGCACAGAGAAAUCGUUAAGCAUUCCACCUGGGGAGUACGCCGGCAACGGUGAAACUCAAAGGAAUUGACGGGGGCCCGCACAAGCGGAGGAACAUGUGGUUUAAUUCGAUGAUACGCGAGGAACCUUACCUGGGCUUAAAUUGCAGUGGAAUAACGUGGAAACAUGUUAGCCUUCGGGCCGCUGUGAAGGUGCUGCAUGGUUGUCGUCAGCUCGUGCCGUGAGGUGUCGGCUUAAGUGCCAUAACGAGCGCAACCCUCAUCGAUAGUUACUAACAGGUUAAGCUGAGGACUCUAUCGAGACUGCCGACGUAAGUCGUGAGGAAGGUGGGGAUGACGUCAAAUCAGCACGGCCCUUACGUCCAGGGCUACACACGUGUUACAAUGGGGGGUACAAAGGGCAGCUACCUGGCGACAGGAUGCUAAUCUCAAAAACCUCUCUCAGUUCGGAUUGGAGUCUGCAACCCGACUCCAUGAAGCUGGAUUCGCUAGUAAUCGCGCAUCAGCCACGGCGCGGUGAAUACGUUCCCGGGCCUUGUACACACCGCCCGUCAAGCCAUGGGAGCCGGGGGGACCUGAAGUAUGCAACCGUAAGGAGCGUCCUAGGGUAAAACUGGUGACUGGGGCU